CUGACAGCCCUGGAAAUGAGCCAGUCCUUUGUCAGGAUUUAUAAAAGAACAAGCACAUUGUGGCAGGGCAAGCUUCAUGCUAUUGCUCCCACUUGUGCCUCAUGCCUCGUUCUGGAUUACCACCUCAAAGGGUGACUGGGUAGUUCAGCCUCCAUGGCCUGUUCAGUCCUUCACCUCU
rnacentral:sRNA from 1 species